UUAAGCGACUAAGCGUACACGGUGGAUGCCCUGGCAGUCAGAGGCGAUGAAGGACGUGCUAAUCUGCGAUAAGCGUCGGUAAGGUGAUAUGAACCGUUAUAACCGGCGAUUUCCGAAUGGGGAAACCCAGUGUGUUUCGACACACUAUCAUUAACUGAAUCCAUAGGUUAAUGAGGCGAACCGGGGGAACUGAAACAUCUAAGUACCCCGAGGAAAAGAAAUCAACCGAGAUUCCCCCAGUAGCGGCGAGCGAACGGGGAGGAGCCCAGAGCCUGAAUCAGUGUGUGUGUUAGUGGAAGCGUCUGGAAAGGCGCGCGAUACAGGGUGACAGCCCCGUACACAAAAAUGCACAUGCUGUGAGCUCGAUGAGUAGGGCGGGACACGUGGUAUCCUGUCUGAAUAUGGGGGGACCAUCCUCCAAGGCUAAAUACUCCUGACUGACCGAUAGUGAACCAGUACCGUGAGGGAAAGGCGAAAAGAACCCCGGCGAGGGGAGUGAAAAAGAACCUGAAACCGUGUACGUACAAGCAGUGGGAGCACGCUUAGGCGUGUGACUGCGUACCUUUUGUAUAAUGGGUCAGCGACUUAUAUUCUGUAGCAAGGUUAACCGAAUAGAGGAGCCGAAGGGAAACCGAGUCUUAACUGGGCGUUAAGUUGCAGGGUAUAGACCCGAAACCCGGUGAUCUAGCCAUGGGCAGGUUGAAGGUUGGGUAACACUAACUGGAGGACCGAACCGACUAAUGUUGAAAAAUUAGCGGAUGACUUGUGGCUGGGGGUGAAAGGCCAAUCAAACCGGGAGAUAGCUGGUUCUCCCCGAAAGCUAUUUAGGUAGCGCCUCGUGAAUUCAUCUCCGGGGGUAGAGCACUGUUUCGGCAAGGGGGUCAUCCCGACUUACCAACCCGAUGCAAACUGCGAAUACCGGAGAAUGUUAUCACGGGAGACACACGGCGGGUGCUAACGUCCGUCGUGAAGAGGGAAACAACCCAGACCGCCAGCUAAGGUCCCAAAGUCAUGGUUAAGUGGGAAACGAUGUGGGAAGGCCCAGACAGCCAGGAUGUUGGCUUAGAAGCAGCCAUCAUUUAAAGAAAGCGUAAUAGCUCACUGGUCGAGUCGGCCUGCGCGGAAGAUGUAACGGGGCUAAACCAUGCACCGAAGCUGCGGCAGCGACGCUUAUGCGUUGUUGGGUAGGGGAGCGUUCUGUAAGCCUGUGAAGGUGUGCUGUGAGGCAUGCUGGAGGUAUCAGAAGUGCGAAUGCUGACAUAAGUAACGAUAAAGCGGGUGAAAAGCCCGCUCGCCGGAAGACCAAGGGUUCCUGUCCAACGUUAAUCGGGGCAGGGUGAGUCGACCCCUAAGGCGAGGCCGAAAGGCGUAGUCGAUGGGAAACAGGUUAAUAUUCCUGUACUUGGUGUUACUGCGAAGGGGGGACGGAGAAGGCUAUGUUGGCCGGGCGACGGUUGUCCCGGUUUAAGCGUGUAGGCUGGUUUUCCAGGCAAAUCCGGAAAAUCAAGGCUGAGGCGUGAUGACGAGGCACUACGGUGCUGAAGCAACAAAUGCCCUGCUUCCAGGAAAAGCCUCUAAGCAUCAGGUAACAUCAAAUCGUACCCCAAACCGACACAGGUGGUCAGGUAGAGAAUACCAAGGCGCUUGAGAGAACUCGGGUGAAGGAACUAGGCAAAAUGGUGCCGUAACUUCGGGAGAAGGCACGCUGAUAUGUAGGUGAAGUCCCUCGCGGAUGGAGCUGAAAUCAGUCGAAGAUACCAGCUGGCUGCAACUGUUUAUUAAAAACACAGCACUGUGCAAACACGAAAGUGGACGUAUACGGUGUGACGCCUGCCCGGUGCCGGAAGGUUAAUUGAUGGGGUCAGCGCAAGCGAAGCUCUUGAUCGAAGCCCCGGUAAACGGCGGCCGUAACUAUAACGGUCCUAAGGUAGCGAAAUUCCUUGUCGGGUAAGUUCCGACCUGCACGAAUGGCGUAAUGAUGGCCAGGCUGUCUCCACCCGAGACUCAGUGAAAUUGAACUCGCUGUGAAGAUGCAGUGUACCCGCGGCAAGACGGAAAGACCCCGUGAACCUUUACUAUAGCUUGACACUGAACAUUGAGCCUUGAUGUGUAGGAUAGGUGGGAGGCUUAGAAGUGUGGACGCCAGUCUGCAUGGAGCCGACCUUGAAAUACCACCCUUUAAUGUUUGAUGUUCUAACGUUGACCCGUAAUCCGGGUUGCGGACAGUGUCUGGUGGGUAGUUUGACUGGGGCGGUCUCCUCCUAAAGAGUAACGGAGGAGCACGAAGGUUGGCUAAUCCUGGUCGGACAUCAGGAGGUUAGUGCAAUGGCAUAAGCCAGCUUGACUGCGAGCGUGACGGCGCGAGCAGGUGCGAAAGCAGGUCAUAGUGAUCCGGUGGUUCUGAAUGGAAGGGCCAUCGCUCAACGGAUAAAAGGUACUCCGGGGAUAACAGGCUGAUACCGCCCAAGAGUUCAUAUCGACGGCGGUGUUUGGCACCUCGAUGUCGGCUCAUCACAUCCUGGGGCUGAAGUAGGUCCCAAGGGUAUGGCUGUUCGCCAUUUAAAGUGGUACGCGAGCUGGGUUUAGAACGUCGUGAGACAGUUCGGUCCCUAUCUGCCGUGGGCGCUGGAGAACUGAGGGGGGCUGCUCCUAGUACGAGAGGACCGGAGUGGACGCAUCACUGGUGUUCGGGUUGUCAUGCCAAUGGCACUGCCCGGUAGCUAAAUGCGGAAGAGAUAAGUGCUGAAAGCAUCUAAGCACGAAACUUGCCCCGAGAUGAGUUCUCCCUGACUCUUUGAGGGUCCUGAAGGAACGUUGAAGACGACGACGUUGAUAGGCCGGGUGUGUAAGCGCAGCGAUGCGUUGAGCUAACCGGUACUAAUGAACCGUGAGGCUUAACCUU
rnacentral:rRNA from 2 species